AGGCGAAACCUCAGCACCCUUCAUAGGAAACUUUCAAGAAGAAUAUAAUCAGCCCCGUGCCGCAUGCUGAGCCCUAGAGCAAAGUGACCGUGAAAAAUAGUCGAAGCGCCGCCCAAACGUCAAAAGAGACGAACUUUAGGUUGAAGAAGCCCUAGCUCGACGAGCCCUUGGACUCUCUUCUUCACGGAGUUGGUUUGCGCGGGGAUUUACGCUGCUGAGCUGAUUGUCUGAUCUGCAUUUACUAUUGACUUCUUACUCAAGGACUGAGGAUGAGUGGCCGAUUCUCUCGCACCGCACAAUUU